GACGAACGCUGGCGGCGUGCUUAACACAUGCAAGUCGAACGGUGAAGCGCCUUCCUUUUUGGUGGGUGUGGAUGAGUGGCGAACGGGUGAGUAACACGUGAGUAACCUGCCCCCUUCUUCUGGAUAACCGCAUGAAAGUGUGGCUAAUACGGGAUAUUCUGGGUCUGUCGCAUGAUGGGUCUGGGAAAGAUAUUGUUUCGUUUGGGGAUGGUCUCGCGGCCUUUCAGCUUGUUGGUGGGGUGAUGGCCUACCAAGGCGGUGACGGGUAGCCGGCCUGAGAGGGUGGACGGUCACACUGGGAAUGAGACACGGCCCAGACUCCUACGGGAGGCAGCAGUGGGGAAUAUUGCACAAUGGGCGAAAGACUGAUGCAGCGACGCCGCGUGAGGGAUGGAGGCCUUCGGGUUGUGAACCUCUUUCGCCAGUGAAGCAGGCCUGCCUCGUUUGUGGGUGGGUUGACGGUAGCUGGAUAAGAAGCGCCGGCUAACUACGUG
rnacentral:rRNA from 1 species